UUGGGGAAACCGGCGAACGGGUGAGUAACACGUGAGGAACCUGCCCUGUACACCGGGAUAACUCCGGGAAACCGGGGCUAAUACCGGAUAUGAGCCUUGAUCGCAUGAUCGGGGCUGGAAAGUUUUUCGGUUGAAGAUGACUUCGCGGCCUAUCAGCUUGUUGGUGAGGUAAUGGCUCACCAAGGCGACGACGGGUAGCCGGCCUGAGAGGGCGACCGGCCACACUGGGACUGAGACACGGCCCAGACUCC
rnacentral:rRNA from 1 species